rnacentral:lncRNA from 1 species
GCUGCGGAUUACGUUCUGGGAAUACCCACCAGCAGCAGAGCAGCACCAUCCCAGAGAAACAUAACAAAACCGCCUUUUUGUUUUCAGCUUGCUGUGGACAAGAACUACCAGACCAACUGCCCCAAAGUGCUCUUCAAAACCAGUGACGACCGCAAAGUGUUUUCAAAACUACAUCUGGAUCAGGUGGAUCUGAAACAUGUUUAUGUCCCAUUUCAAAACCAGGUAGGUGUAGUGUACAAGUACCACAUACAAGGUCAAGGUGAUCACUCAGUAAAUUUAAAUACUUCAAAUUUUUACUGGUGUUAUUUAUACUGCAUAUAAGUACACUCACCGGCCACUUUAUUAGGUACACCAUGCUAGUAACGGGUUGGACCCCCUUUUGCCUUCAGAACUGCCUCAAUUCUUCGUGGCAUAGAUUCAACAAAGUGCUGGAAGCAUUCCUCAGAGAGCUUGGUCCAUAUUGACAUGAUGGCAUCACACAGUUGCCGCAGAUUUGUCGGCUGCACAUCCAUGAUGCGAAUCUCUCGUUCCACCACAUCCCAAAGCCCAUCUGCCUCAAAGUUCGACGUACUGUGCGUUCAGAGAUGCUCUUCUGCCUACCUUGGUUGUAACGGGUGGUUAUUUGAGUCACUGUUGCCUUUCUAUCAGCUCGAACCAGUCUGGCCAUUCUCCUCUGACCUCUGGCAUCAACAAGGCAUUUCCGCCCACAGAACUGCCGCUCACUGGAUAUUUUUUCUUUUUCGGACCAUUCUCUGUAAACCCUAGAGAUGGUUGUGCGUGAAAAUCCCAGUAGAUCAGCAGUUUCUGAAAUACUCAGACCAGCCCUUCUGGCACCAACAACCAUGCCACGUUCAAAGUCACUCAAAUCACCUUUCUUCCCCAUACUGAUUCUCGGUUUGAACUGCAGGAGAUUGUCUUGACCAUGUCUACAUGCCUAAAUGCACUAAGUUGCCGCCAUGUGAUUGGCUGAUUAGAAAUUAAGUGUUAACGAGCAGUUGGACAGGUGUACCUAAUAAAGUGGCCGGUGAGUGUAUAUCUUUGCUGUAUUUUAAAUGCUGUUAAGUUGAAAUUUUGAAAUGUUUAUUUUUAGAUCAAUCGUGUUCCUGUGUCAAAGUGCAGCACAUACAAAACUGUGCAGGAUUGUUGGUCUGCACAGGAUCCAUACUGUGUCUGGUGUGGCCCUGAAAAAAGGUUAGAAACAUCAUCUGCAGUGAACAUCAGUAAAGGAAUUUAAAACUUGUAUAGGACUUACCUUUUUUCUUCUCCUAGCUGUACAUUUGAAGAAAACUGCCAAGGCUCAGACUGGUUGUCCAUUCCUGAUGAUUCUCAGCACAAAAUGGUUUCCUAUCAAGUUACACAGGACCAGACUGGACAGGUAGAGAUUAGGGUUAAGUUCUGAGCUAUGAUGAGUUGUGGCUCUCUGAUAGUAUAUUGUUUAUUUACUCCUAUCUGGAUUUGUUUCAGAUCACACUUAACAUCCAGGUGCAUGUGACAGCGGGCGAAGAGGUGCUCUCUAACUUUGCCUGUCACUUCUCUACAAGUUCCACUGAGCGCUUUAAAAUGGAAAACCCGCGUCCACAGUUUCCACAUUGUUCUUCCACCCUUGAAGCAAGCACACUUCCUGCUGGAGGUCAGUCAUUUUUGAUGGAUAAUAAUAUUAUGAUAAGAAUCUAAAAAUUAUAUAAUUGUUAUAUUUAGUGUAUUUUUUUAAUACAACAGGACUGCGUGCAACUGUAAAGAUCAAACUUGGUUCAUCAUGGCUGACUGAAUGGCUGAACCUGCUCAACUGUACGGACAUCAGCGGACCACCAACACCUGCCCUGUAAGUCCUCCACUGUUUUCUACUAAUCUAAGCCACACCUUUCACUGCAAUUUUCUUAGAAGUAGCAUCAGUGUUAAAACAAAAUGACUCACCUUUUUGUCUACAGGUGCCGAAAAUGUUUUGAGGCUGGCUGUGGCUGGACCGGAAGGGGUUGUUCUUGGGCAAAUCGAGGCGUGGGGAAUGUAAUUAUGCAUUUCUUGCUUUAAUUUUCCGACUUGAUGUCCAAAAUGCUUUUUGUUGUUAUUGUGCAGCUAUUCCACAUUCUCUUUGAGCAAUGUUCCAAAAGUUAAGACUAUGAAUCUCUGUUAAAAAAUGAAGUUUGUCAAAUGUUUUUUUACACUGACUUAUGCUGAAAUAGUUCAGCAUAUAAAACCCUUUUCUUUGGAUCUCAUGGAAACACAGUUAUCUUCUGAAUUAUCUUCUUACAGGUCAGUGUUUGCCAAAUGAUAGGGUCACAGAUGAACCUUUCUGUAAGUCUGAACCUGAAGUGUCACAUACUUUCCAUCACCAUGAGAAUAACGAUCGCACAUGGAAAUGAUACUCUUGUGUUUGUUUUACUGUCAGAAACCCGUGAUCUCCACCAUCACUCCCAAAGUUGUGUCUUUCCACGGCAGAAACAACGCAGUGUUGUCUGGUAGUAACCUCAGUUCUGUGACUAGAUUGAGGAUCCAGGCAGAUCUUGACUGCACACCACAAGAGUGAGUUACCUCAUGGGUAACUGAGACAAUGAACUGAAACUAAGUGGCUGUUAAGUCAAGACUUUGCUGGCAUUGCUGCUCAGUAAAGCUGAGAAACUUCCUCAUGUAAAAGUGAUCAUGCUCCACAGACACAUUCACGUGUAUAUGGUUCACCCAAACAGAUUGUAAACUUGUAGAGCAAAUCAAAAACGUUACUGUCAAAGAAGCAGAAGCUGAAAUAGGGCUGGGCAAUAUGGCCUCAAAUCAGUAUCACGAUAUAUUAAGCAGUUCACCCAGAUAAUGAUAAAUGGACGAUAACAACUCCACGAGCUGCUCACCCCCUUCCACAUUAACUGCCUCUACUUCAGCCACCGCUCUAGCUGCUACAACUUUUGAACUGUUCUCUUUGUCCUUCUUUUUUUACGGACUGGAUGGGGUGGAGUCACGUCUCUGACGUAGAACAGCGUUUUAAAGGGACAUGAGACCAUAGCCUACCUACACACGUCCAAAAACAACUUUUAUUUAUUUAUUUUUUUGACACAGAAUAUAUCCAUAUAGGUAAAAUGACGUCGGUUACUGUCAUAAAUUUCAGUAUUGGUAAAUUUUCGGUUCAUCGCCCAGCCCUAACCUGAAAUUUCAGCGGCAAAAAUUGAGUUGUAAAGUUAGCGGCGGUGUAAAUUUUUCUUUGCAGUUUCUCAAAUGGUUCUUUAGGCUACAUGGACAUCAACUUGCAACCAGAAGAGAGCGUGUAUCUACUUAUGAAUUUGCGAAAUUGUAAGCAAAUUUUAAAUAGUUUAAAACUAUCUGAAUGAUGUGCUUUAAAGUCGUUAAAGUAUUGCCAGGGUUUGAGAUGCACACAUAUUAUUCCUGCUGUGUUGAUUGCAUUCCACCUAUUGUCUUUUGACUUGUCCUUAGUUAUUUUGUAAUGACUAUGAACAGGUAUCUGGAUACCAAAACAGAAUAAAACUGUUUCUCUCUGUUUUUUACCUCAUGUGGUCAGGAUUCCUGUUCGGAGCAACACGGGUAAAAAUCUGACGUUCCACAUUCCCAGUGCAGAAAACAAAGGUGUGGUCAAAGUCUGCGCCCUCCUCCCAGAUGGUAGUUGUCACGGCAGUGCCACUAUAACCUACCGUUCAGCACCAUCCUGCACCAAUGUUUCACCCAACAGCACCUGGAACAGGUAAAAGUGUGUGAGAGAAAUGCAAAAGAGAUCAACUGCACACAUACAGACUUCUCCUGAUACAAGUUAUGACUGAUGUACACAUUUAAUCUGUUUAGAAACCUGUGUUAAUGACAGUUUUCUUAACUUAAGACCAAGUGCUUGAUUUUGAAUACAUAACAUUACAGCAGUGUGGCUAAAGGGGAAGCUCUAAUUUUGACACCUUUGCCACAUUGGUAAACAGUUUGAAAAACUUCAGGAGCUUUACCUCUUUGCACUCAAACACUCAGUUGAGAGGUUCAAAUAUAUUGUCUUAAACUGUCCUUUUUUGACCUGAUGACCAGGGCUGCGUCAGGAACUUUAGUGGCGACUGAUUCAAGGGAAACAGGGUUAGUAACUUAGGAACGAUGACAGGUUGAGGGUCAUCUUAUGGGGAAAGAGCCACUUCCCAGAAGUGACUGAUGACACCAUUAGACUACUUCCUGUUAAGCUGCAGCAGCUAAAAGUUCCACUUCUGUCUUUAUUUUUGUACUUUAACAAGAAGCAGUGUUUAAAAAUCGGCAGCUUAGGCUAAUGAGGUUUUUAGGACAAUCUUGAACAAAGAAAAGAAAACACUCCAACAGCCACCGGCAUUCAUUAAUUAGCAUGAUUUGGUGCUUUUUGGGGAGCAGGGUUGUAAGGGUAUCUGCUGUAUGUCAUGGGGCACCAGCUCACAGAAGACCUGCAUCAAAGCAGCAAAGGCCAUUUUGUCUCAUUUUAAUCAACCAAACUGGUUCUAGCCUAUCAAAAGUCAUAGUGAGCCAUUUAUUUAAUGUGGACAAUCUGGGCAGUCCCUGUGCAGCCUGGGGGUUUUGAAAUCCUUGAUUACCACAGAGUAGGGUUCAUUUAAACAUCAUAAGGAACCAUCAAUCAUAGGGGGUCUGGUCGGGGGUGGAGGGCUGAUCACAUGCUGCACAUGCAAGACGGGAAAAAGUAAAGAAUUACCGUUAAGGUUUCUCUAGAGAAAAAUAGGACAACAGAUGAGUCCUCAGAGGAUCUCAUCUCUUAAAUACCUUUAGUGCCAAAUUAAAUAUUCCUCAGCUAAAAUGUUUGUAGAUUAUUUCUCACUCUAAUUAUUUUUAUAACAUUAAACUCUGCCUGACAUUUAUGACAAAAUUGCAUGUUCAAAAAUGCAAACCCUCCACUGUACAUGCUUAUUUGAUUGUUGCUCUGUGUCCUGUAGUGGGAAAAGGACGAUCACAGUCCAUGGAUCCCACCUGGAGUUUGUGGAAGCUGUCAAACACAGUGGAGUCCUGCAGGAGGUCAGACUUCCAGAGAACAAUAUCUAUAAGGUAGGUCUUUGGACACAAACAACAUCCCAUUUUAUUUUACUACUUUAUUUAUAUCUUGUCACCUUAUAGGCUACCAUGGUGCAUUAUACUGCAGUACACCAACCAAUGAGCAGAACCAGGGUUGUUCAAAGGAUUACUUCUCCUACAUAUCAUAUGUAUCAGUGUUUUUUAGACUGUUUUGAUUCACAGUUACACUUAAUGCAACUUCUAUUUUUACAAGCAGAGGCAAAUGUUAAUAACUUUGUUUGGACUGCACAGAAAGAACAGACACUUUGAUGAAUACAUUCACAGAUUCAGCUACUUUAACCGCAUUAAAAAGGGGGAAAAAAUGCACAUUUCAUGCACUUGUUUUUUUUAUGUUUAUACUAUCAUACAUGAUCGCAACUUAAUGCAUCAGAUUGAUAAGCAGCUGAUAAAUUCUAACUGUGUCUUUGCCUUGCCUGUCUGCUCUCUGACAUCUCUUUGUUUUAUCUCUUGUUUUAUCUGGGGAGUAGGUAGGAGGUUAAGUGUACGGUCUAGUACUGCAGGGGCUCGAGUCCAAAGAGGCUUCUGCCUUCCUGUCUACUCUUUAACAUCUCUUUAGAUAUGUGUCACUCUGUCCCUUAUUUUUCUUCUCUAUUAUGGUGCAUGGUUACAGCGAAAGGUGAGAGAUUGUAUCGAGAGGAGUGGCUCUGGGACACCCAAGCUAGCUGUUAAGCCUCCCUCAGGUGUCAUAGGCCUCACUUCAGAGCUUACCUGAUAACCUCUGUGAGGUUUUGGCUCAUGCAGCCCAUGUCUAUUAUUAAAUCUAUUACAAUUAUCCAUGUUCACCAAGAGAGGGAUCAGCUGUAUCUACACACAUUCAUCUGUCCAUUCAAUAUAGAGGUGUAUCACAUAAAAUCAUCUGUUAUGUCUUCUUUGCCAUUUUAUUUAUUUUAUGUUUCAGUGGAAGAUAUUGUUAUUUAACAUUAAUUAUUUAUGCUUUUAUUGUAUAAUGCUCUACAGUCAUAAUAUCACUUAAUUAGGAAGCUUCAAUCCAAAUGUAACACUGUAGAUUUCUCCUCAUGUUUUUGACAGGAUCUCAAGAAUCUCACCUACGACUCACCUGCAGCUGAAAAUGCUCAAGGGACUUUUUCCAGCACUUUGACCCUGAAAGUAGCCAAUGAGAGCUUGAGCUGUCCCACAAAAAUAACCUACUACCCAGACCCUGAGUUUACAAGCUUCACGUCCACAAAGACAGGGGACAGUGUCCACAUCACUAUACAGGUAAUGCAAGAUUUUCCAGCACACAUGCACAAUGAGGAGAUGAAACUUGAAUAUCAGUGAUUUUUUUCUGUUCUCCUUUCAGAAAAAGGCAGACAAACUCAAUAUGAGCCCUGAAGAGUUAUCAGUGUGGGGUAUUCAUGAAGGACAAAAAUACCCCUGCGUAAUGGAAGAGAAAGGAACCAGUGGCAACACCGAGUAUUUCAUCUGUGAGAUUAAAAUUCCAAGCAUCAAAGAUUUUCAAGAAUUGGAGGUAAGUUUUUAGUCGUGCCACUCCAAAUUAAGUGAUGCUUUUGAUAGAUAAAAUAUACAUGUGUCUCUAAAGCUUUUACAGAAACGCAGACUUCCUUUUUGAAAUCCUUUCUGAUACAGUUUGAUUGUUUCUUUGUCCCAGAUAAAGUAUGGAGACAAAACAGAAACCCUUGAAUCUGCAUCAUGGUCUCCUCUCUUCCUGAUACUGCUUGUCUUACUACUGAUCCCAUUAAUUAUUGUUGGUAAGUACCCUUUUAUCGUUAGAAGGCCGAUUUUGGUCUAAAAGCAGCUUUAGAAACACUGACAAAUCUGGAAAAAAAAACCAAAAACGAUUUGCUUGGUAUUUUAUCUCCCAGUUGUGGUGAUCGUUUACCGAAGCAAACAAAAGAAACUCAAUGCAAAGAUGAACAAGAUCAUGGAAAACCUGGAGCUCGACAUCAGGAAUGACAUCAGACAAGGUCAGUCACAAAAACAUUGAUGAUACGCUGAUGAAACAGCAAAGAUCCUUCCUGUCUGAACAGUCCCGUGCAAAACAAAAAGCUUGGGUUAUAGAAAGGUCAAUGACUCUUGUUUCAAUGUUCAUGAUAUUUCCUCUUGCUGUCCCUCUCCUUCUCUGUUGGCCAUGUGUGCACACAGCGCUGUAGGAUCAUGAGGCCUGACCCAAUCUAGCAUAAAAAUCGUAUCAAAAUAAGAGCAUGAAAAAUAAGCAGACCAAAGUUUUACAGUUUUACAGCUUCAUAGUUAGAUUCAUGAGCUAUUUGUUGACAUUGAGGAGGCUUUUGAGUAGAGUGAUCAUAUUCUGAAUCCCCAAAAAGAGGACAUGACUACCCAGGGGUGGAGUCACAGUGUCGCACGAAGUUAAUUUUGAGAGUUUUCCAGGUUGGAACGAGUAUCUUUUACCUGCUUCUAACUCAGUAAAUCCACGAGACACAAACUCGGAACUUCCAUACAAAAUUUUGUAAACUUCCCCGGACAAGGCCGGACAGCCCGCAAAAAAGAGGACAUGUCCGGGUAAAAGAGGACGUAUAGUCACCCUAUUUUUGAGGCGAAAAACACAAGUUUCUAUUCAUGACAUUUCCAUCAACAUCUGCUGUAUAUAGUUUUUCAGCUACUUAUCAGAUGUUAGCAUGCUGUCAUGCUAAGAUGAUUAACGGCAAUGCAGAACUUCACAGAGCUGACAGCAUGGAAAGGGUUAGGUCAUGGAAAGUGUAAACGGCUCAACUUGACAAGUAGCCAACUUCAACAGUCAGCACAGACCAACACAUGCACACAUGCAGUUCCUUUUAAAGAUGUGAAAUACCCCGAGCUUGUUCCUUUUUCUGGUAUCAGACUUGUCAUACAUGUGGUCUAUGCUAAGUAGAAAAAUUAAGUAUGUAUCUGCAAAUACAAAACCUCAUUUCAGAUAAACACCAUGAGGUUUGCUGUUUGUUUUAAAUAAGAUGCAGUCUCCCAUUUUCACUACCUCUUUCUGUUUUUGACCAAAGUUGAAGAUCAUCUUAUAGUUUGAUUCUUAACUGGCUUUAAAAAGGCAAUGUUUCAAAGCCGUAAAUAUCUUUAUCUUUUAAUGAUUAUGAUGCCAGAUGGGUUUUGUGUCACUUAAACACAUACAGAUGAAUAUUCAUUAUAACCAACCCUAACUGUCCUCUGUAGGUUUUGUGGAUCUGCAGACAGAGAAAGCUGACCUGAUGGAGAAUGUUGGAGCCAUUCCUUUCCUGGAUUAUAAGCACUUUGCCUCCAGGAUCUUUUUCCCUGAGGUACGGACAAACCUCCAAGAAAGUAAAUGCUCAUUAUGAUAUUUAAAAAAAAAACACAACAUAAACACAAUCUGUUUUGUUUCUAUUUUUCAGGGUGACACUUUGAUGAAUUUGUGCGUCAAAGACAUCGGUCAGGUAAGGUCUGACUCCAGCUGUUAUCAACAUUCGUGUUGUUUUGUAACCCUUACGGUGACGUGUUGUUGUAUCUGACCUGAAAUCAGGAUGCUGUGAAGGUUCCGCUUGAUGAGCCCUGCAAGGGUUUGUCCAGGCUGAUCCAGAACCAGGUCUUCCUCACGUCAAUGGUGCACGCUCUGGAGGAACAGAAGAGUUUCACCAUCAAGGACAAGUCAGUUUCUGAAGUUUGAUUGUUGUGUCUGAGUGUCAGUGACAAAUCUGUUGUUUCAUCCUGAACCAUUUUGAGGUUUUCUGUACUUCCCUGUCGUUGUUUACAUCCGUUAUUCUAUGAUCCUUUUUGCUCCUAUGUUCUCUGGUCAUAAUUCUGUUUCUUUUCUACUUUUACCUCCUUUUUUUUUCUUUUUUAAUCUCCUCUCUUCCAGGUGUGUUAUGGCAUCACUGCUCACUGUAGCGCUCCACAACAAUUUGCUGUACCUGACAGAAGUGAUGGAGGUACUGCUGAGGGAUCUGAUGCAGCAGCACGGUAACGCCCAGCCCAAACUGCUUUUACGACGCACCGAGUCCACUGUGGAGAAACUCCUGACCAACUGGAUGUCCAUCUGUCUGUACGGCUUCCUCCGGGUUAGAUGAGUUUAUAUCCCUCUUGAUUUCUAAAGAACCACAAAGGAAAACGUCAGCUACCUGAUUUAGCCGCACUAGAAACUUUCAAUGUUGGUCAACGGCCUUUUCAGACGCCAACCAGUUAGAAGCAAGACACUAAGAAUGACUAUUUUCCUACUAAUAGCUUUUAUGGCACAUACAGUAUGAAGGUCAUCAGUGUUAUACAUCAGGUGUAGAGAUUAUGUGUGAGUGCUGAGAGUUAGUACAAAGGAGGGUGAAGAAAGGUGUCCUUAUGAUAACCCCAGUGAUGCGCUGAUUCUCUCUGCCUAUCAAAUCAGGAUCGGUUGGGGGCGUUAGGGGUUGUUGUUAAAAAGCUAUAUAAGCCAGAACACUUAAGACAACAGUGACAUACCUCUAUUUGACUUUUCUGGUUUUCUGUUUUAUCUGGAUGUUGAAGAAAGUUGGUAACAAACAGCAGAGCAGUCUAUACGACGUCAGUGGACUGGAGAUCCAGAGCUUUAUUGUCACCUCUCCUGUUUGUCCGCUUUUCCUUUCGGUGCAUCGAGUCGUCAUCGUCCUCUGUAAACUCAGAUUCACAAAGAUGUCAGAAUCAUUAAUGGUUUGAUUUGGUCGUAUCUUUGUCUUUAGGAAGCCUGCAUGCGAAAGAGCAAGUCUGUGCUGAAUAAAUUGUCUUUCUGAUGGCAAAGUUAAGGGCUGAAAAUUUUCUGGGUGGAGUGUACGAUUAAACUGAAGUAACAGCUCAGAUAAGGGUCUCCCAAAGUUAGUGGCAGUCGUAUACCUAACACCCUGAUAUAAUUGUGGCUUGUACAAUAACAAGUGACAUGUAACUCAGACAGUCCACUUUAGUUUCUCUUUCUGUAUUUUUGUCUAGCCUUUUGGUAAACCACAUGCUGUUUAUUUUUAAUGUCAUGGCUAAUGAGGGAUCGUCUAAAGGAAACAUUGCCAUGGUAACAAACUCCCCACAGCCAUCACACAUUCCGAGAACUUUCUCUUGUCACCUCUAUUAAGUCCUCAGUCGAGUUUCCGUUUAGCUCUCUGCUGUAUUGUGUCACAUGGACACAGACUGAAACCUUUUCUUUGUUUUUACUAAAACCUUUGUUCCAUGUGUUUAAAAAAACAAUUCAGGGCAGUUGUCUUGAAUGAAGCAAAAACAGAACGUUAAGUUCAUAAAACAACUUCCUCGGUGCCACAGAGGGAACAACCCCCUUUUUUGUCUGACUCUGUUCCUGUUUCUGAUUUUGCACAGGAAACUGUUGGCCAGCACCUGUUCCUGAUGGUUAGCGCUCUGACACAGCAGACUGCCAAAGGACCUGUGGACAGUGUGACAGAGAAGGCUCUUUACACGCUCAGCGAGGACUGGCUGCUGUGGCAGGCUCCGGACUUCACUUCCCUGGUACACACACACACACAAACAAAAACACCCAUACUUUACAUCGCAGGCCCUCGCACACAGAAGCAGACUGCAUAUUCAGGGAAAGCUAGAGUCCAAACAGGAGAAAACAUCUAUAUAAACAGGGGAAACUACAUGAAACAACUCAAAGUAUUCAACAUUUCAAAGUAAAAACCUGUCAGCUGUAGAGGUUAUACUAUUAAAAUGAGCUGUGUAUGAGGCAGAUGGGCACUCACUCAAUCAAAGGAUAUAAGCAAGCCAAGAAAUCACAAUAUUACUGAUACGUUGCCCGUGAUCUGAACACAAACUGCAGUCUAAACUGUGACCAAUGCGCUGCACAAAGAAAAGCUAAGCAGCUUGAAGUCAUUUAUUGCUGACCACACCAGAAAGAAAGAGGCAGCUGUGGCUCGGUCCGCAUGCCAAAGUGUCCUUGGGCGAAGCACUUAAGCCCACCUGCCCCCGCUGGCUGUGUCGGGUGGUGUGUGAAUGGUAUUAGUUAAAACACUGAUGGACUCUAUGCAUAGCAGCCUCUGUCAUCAGUGUGUGAAUGGGUGAUUGUGACAUGUGGCGCGAAAGCGCUUUGAGUGGUCAAAAGAGAAGGCGGGGAGUUCAAUUAACAUUUACCAGAAGUAGAGACGUUGUCCUCAUUCCCAGAGACACACACUGUUUUUCUUAAAGGAUAGCUGAUGGGUCCUGAGAUGGGUGUAGUCAUGUAGAUACUAACAAAUAUCUUAAGAUCACAAAUUGAGGAAACCGUCAAUAGAUCCUAGCUCUGUUUUCGAAAAGAGAAAAGUAUACUAAGAUUCCAUUUUAUUUACUUAUUACCUUAAUCUGUAAAUGUCUAAUAUCUCUGUGAAGCACUGAGAUAUUAAUGAUGGAAGUUGUGAGGCAGUUCUUCUAUAUGUGAGCGAUCCAGCGCGGCUAUGAAUUGAUUGGACAACAUCCUCAUUGUGUGUAAGUUGGUUGUCAGCCACAGAGCAUACAGAGACAGCUUGUCAAGGGAACAGCGGUUGGUAUUGAACCACUUCCUCUUCCAUGUAUUUUAAGACCUUUUUAACAUGCAACAGCUCAGCUUUGACGGGCUUGACACAGCUAUGUUUACCACAGAUUACCAAACUGAUUUCCUGGCAAUAGCUCAGAAAAGGUUUCUAAAGCACACUGACAAAACAGGCCGGAUUGUCAAAGACUGCAAGAUAAAGACAGAUCUUGAUGAGGUGAAAUCAAAAAAGGUUUUUUUGACUUUUUUUAUCAACUAGCGGAAGGCUUGUAACAGAAGUAAAAAAUGAAAAAAACACCAUCCUGCUGGCAGGAAGUGGCUGAAUGUCACGCUCAAGACUCAAAAUGAGAGAGGAAGAUUUUUGUUGUGGCAACAAGAUGUGGCUUCAGGUGCAAGAAGGGUACAAGUUGGACCAUAACUGAGCCUUUACAGAUGGGCAUUUUGCUCAACCACAACAGCUCAUUGGCCUUAAGAGGAAAGUAAUUCUCAGUUUCUCACAGGAGAAACUAUGAAAUGCAAUCAGAUUUAUGUACCGAUUCUGAUGAGGAGAAACACCUUCAUCUUAAACAACACUACAACCUGUUUGAGGAACCAGCUACUCGCAGUCAGAGUCUUAAAAAAGCUCUUUACUCAAGGAAGUAAAGCAACACGGCAUUUUCCUGUUAAAAAAACAAAUUAAAGAAAACCACAGAAUGCAGAAACAGGCGGUCUCUAACCACACCUCAAUGCUCAGAGCUGAGUAGAAAUGAAAGAAAAUGAAAGCAUGCAAAUGUUUCCGAAUCAAGUCAGUUUAUGAGGUGCAUGUUAGAGUAUUUCACAAUGACUAAAGUGCUGUACAAUCAAAGUAGGAAAUAAAGUUAAAUAAAAUAUUACUAAGUUACAAAAGCACUAACAUACACUAAAAAAAAUAAAAGCUCAAAAGAAAAAAUAAAUCAGUAGUUGCAACCAUAAACAGAAAAAUAAAAAAGAAUUGAUAGAAAUUUUCCUACAAAGAGUUCUUGAUGUGUAUGAACUUGACUGAAAUUCAUACUGACGCCUUUUAAUGACUAGAAAAGUAAACAAGACUGAAGAUUUUUAUGUUGUAAUUUUUAAGUACCUGAAACCGGUACAAGCAGCUGCAGAAACAGCCCUAUUACUAUAUUUUUUGUAUCAAAUAUUCACAAUAGCUGAUCAAUUUGACCGCCAAAAGUCAGAAAGCACUACCCAAGUAUAUAUUGGUUAACAUGAGCAGUAACGGCUUUGUCCACAGGGGGCGCCAAAGUUGACACAAACUAAAGGAUCCCUACCAGGGCUUUAAUAAUUAAAAUAGGGUGAGCAAAUUUAAUCAGGUUUUUUUAUGAGAAUAGUGAGAAUAAUGUGUUGGUUACAAGUAAACAUUGCAAACCAAUUUUCCGUUUAACUGAACUUGUCACAUGAGCUAUUUGGCUGAUAUGACGUGUAAUGGUUCAUUUUUACCAGGAAAACACACAAAAAAAUUGCUUAAUUUUGAGUUUUUACUGUUUAAAUGUCUACGAACUGUUAACUGUUACAGGAAAUAUGAGCAAGUGGAGAGACAGUUGGUAUGAACAAGGACAGCAGUUAGUUCAGAACAGACCUGCUGGUGAACGUGACCAAAGCCAUGUAAUGAUCUGGGUCAUCACUGCUAUAGAGAGACUCAACCACAGAAUUAUCUAAUCUAACUGGUAUGCCACACCCCCACUGGAUUACCACAUGGGUUGGUUUGUCCAAUCUGUGGUGUGGCGUGGUGUAAUAACAGAAUUUACCAACUGGCACAGGUCGUCUGUACCGGGUGUCAACAUUUGACAGAUUCAAGGAACAAGAAAUGAACGUUUAUUUCAUAGAAAACCUCAAAGUCAUUGUUCCUGUUGUCAUCAACAACCAGGAAGUUGAGGUUGUGCAGCACUAUAAAUAUCAGGCAAAAUGAUUAAGAAAGUGACUGUCAGGUCUCAGGUGACCAGCUGUUUGUUGAGAACCAGUCAGCACAUCCAUUUAAUCAGGGGGCGGCUGUAAUUUAACAGUGAUAGCCGCCUCGGGAUUUAAAAGUGAAAUCAACAGCAGAGCUAAGUGUGUAGAUGUGUACUUUAGACUUUGAUUGUCCAGAAGACUUUUACCUGUUUUUACAGAGACCCCAAACUUCAGCACAAGUUCAUUUUGUUCUAAGUUUUUUGGGCGUGGCUGUGAAGCUGUGAGCAACAAUUACUAAAGUCAAUCAUAUGGGACUGAUGUCAGAGUUUCACUUCAGUAUUAUUAACCAAAAUAUGGGUUAAAGGAACAGUCAGCGGAACUGAUUCAUAGACCAGAUAAUGCAAAACAGGAGGUGAAGUGUUUGAUACAAUAAACCAGAAGAUCUUGACAAAUAUUUUCUCUUAUAGGAAGUUGGAACUUUUUUUUUUCUGCUUGUGUUUCCGUUUUUGUUUUGGGCAGGGCUCAACAGAAAAAGAUUAUGUUCUUCUUGCAACACAUUUUUGUCAUCUUGGUAUAACUUCUAAUAUUCAAGUAUCUGAUGAUAGGAUUUUGUUGUUGUUGUACUUAUUGUACCAAGCUUUUGAGAAUGCUUUUCUCCCAAAAAGAAGAUUCAACCUUCGUUAGUAUCUGAUGAGAUAAACAGUUGGCAGUAGAUUAGCUACAUACCUUUGUGACAUGGCAUAAAAGUUGUUUAUACACAGCCAGACAUUUAUAAACUCUCUCUUUGUGUCAUACCUGAAAACAAUAUCAUACUAAGUCCUUCAAAUUUGUAAUGAAACAAAUAAAAAGGCACAUUUAAAGCACAAAAACUGGAAAUAUUUUCAAGUCGACAUCACUGAUAAAUCUUCUAAACGCUGUACACUCCUCUGAAGUAUCACUUCCUUGCAUCUUUAGCACUCUGUGUUCCUCCGUCUGUGACAUUUCCUUCUGUGAGCAAAGCAACAGAAGCCUGACGUUUAAUCUAAUAUUACAAACCAGUAUCUCACUUAACCUCUCAAUCAGAUCCAUUAGUUAGUGCAGGCAUAAACCACAAAAGGGCAGAAAGGAGACAAGAUGGAUGCUGAUAAUACAUUAUCCAGAGAUCCAGAGAUAGUUGUUCAAAUUGUGUCCCCUAAUUAUGUAAAAACCCCAAAAAUCCACUAAGUUGUUUCUUGAAAAGACGUGUCUCUGUAAAAUCCCAAACUUUUUUGUUACUCUAUUGGAUACAUAAAUCACAAUAUGAUACAUAAAAUAGGAGAAAUGAUAGGAUACAACAGGAUAAUUGUUUUUUCAUGUUGAGCUCAUCAUCAGCAAUUACAAACAACAUUUGUAGGAAACAUUUUCAAGUGCAUCAUUAGCCAUGACAGCUGGCUUGAAGAUCAUAUAGUUUCUUUGUUUAAUUUUGAGAUAAUUCACUAUUAUCAAUCAACACUAUCAAAAACACUAUUACAGAGUUCCUACGCAAGUAUGGAAAGUGUGGAAAAGUAUGACAGUAAUUUGAUCAAUUUCUAGGUCUCAAAAAGUAUGGUAAAUAAAAAGUAAGGUAAGGAAAAAUAUUCAUGUUAACAGACUGUAUUACCACAGUUAUAAAAAACAGUUUUCUAACAUAGCAAAUUAGGUAUUUCCAAAAAAUAAUUCUAAAAAGUAGGGAAUGGAAAAGUAUGGAAAUUCCAACUGUGUAGGAACCCUGGUUAAAGCAGGCUAUCAGCUUGUGUUCAUAUUAAUCUGUAAUAAAAAUAUUUGUAUUUUUGGCAUAAAGAAGGAGCUUACUUUAAUGUUACUUGCUAGUCAUUAUUUACUAAGAAUUUAAAAGGAUCUAGUAACAAGCCCUGUGGAACACCUGUGUGUUUUUGCAAUAGAUUUCCCAGUUGGUAAACUGCUAUCAAAAAUCAGAUUAGUUGACAAAUACAACACAGCAUGAUUAUUUAACCGAGCUAUACACAAGAUCACAGGGUCUGCGAGUCAAAAAUGUCAUAUUGGUUAGUGAGUGUUGCUAAUGUUGGAAAUGCUAGCAUCACAAGCCUUCAGUUUACCCUGACCAGAUGCUUGUGCUGGUUUGGUGGUUUUGUGUCAGUUUAAUCUGACACUGCCUAAAAUUAUUACUAAACAAUGCACUGUAAAAUCCUGUGUGUCCAUUGUGUUGGGUCCAUAUCUGGGUUUUAAGGUGCUAAAGCAGUAUGGGGGGUAGCUGUUAGCUAUAGUAACAGCUCUGCUUAGUGGAGGGCGACCAAGUUACAGCCAACUACUGAAUGGGACACACUUCGUUAUUCUGUUGACUUAACGCAAACAUCCCCAGAAAUAAGGAAAAACAGUGACGUGUUGGUGUUGUUGAUGUUUGUGUAUGUUGUUCUGCAGAAGCUAAAAGUGCUGUUCGCAGUGGGCAGCGAUGGGGAGGUCAGCGAGCCUCUGGAGGUCAGCGCGCUCAGCUGUGACUCAGUAGAACAAGUCAAAGAGAAAAUCCUGUCCACCUUCAAGGCCAAGUUUGGGUUCCCCUACAACACUCUGCUCAGGGAUGUUUGUAUCGGUGAGGAUCAUCUGCCUGUUGUUGUUGUUGUCCCUCGUGGUUGUGCUGACAGUAUUUUGGUUGUGUUGUCUUCUUCCACUGUGGUCUUCUCUCUUAUGCUGUCUGUGUAUGGCUGUGUUGUCAGUAUACAAGUUUGGUUUCUGUAUCUGCAUUUAGCAUCUGUGGUUGGUUGUGUUUGCAGCAUUUGUGUUGCUCGGUUGUGUCAAGUGUUUCGUCUUGUCAGCCUGCUUGUUCUGUCCUUAUUUGAUUAUGUUGUCCGUGUGGUUGUUUUGUCUGAAUUGAAUAUCAGUGUGUUAUUGUAUUUCAUCAUUUUAUUGGAUUUAGCUACAUCAUCUGUGAUUGGUUUCCUUUUUAUUUUGCGUGUGUGUAUUUGGCACUUUUUUCCUGUGAGUGUUCUGUCUGCAUCGAGUUGGGUUGUCUGGUUUGGUUAUGCUUCCUGUGUUCGGUUGUGUUGUCCAAACUGGUUCUGUGUUGUCUGUAUGACUUGUAUUGGUUGUGCUGUACUAAAUUGGGUUUUCUGUGUUGGUUAUGUUGUCUGUGUAGAAGUUUGUGGUUCCCAGAGUGAGUGGAUACGCCUCCCCUGGGGGUUGUGGAGACACAUCAGGCAGGGGUAACAUAUAAUGGGGAACUAUUGACUUGUAACUAGCGAUGGGGAUCGUUCAUUUUUAUCGAUACUGAUGCUAAAGAUCUCCAUUCUUAUCGAUACUACUAUAGAGGUUUCUUUCAAACUUUUGUAUUUAUGGCGAUUUCUCACAAAAAUGUUCUUUUUCUUUUUCUGGACGUGACAUUUGAACAAAUCAUGUUUACAUUUAAACUUUUGCCGACCCAACCCUGAACACCUCACAAUAUAGUCAUCUGUCACCUCAAUUAGUUAGCUAGUUAGCUUUUGUCCUGCUGAUUUUAACACUGGAUUGGGAUUUCUAACCAACGGCACUUGCUCUAAAAUCUGUCUGCGCUGAUGUGUUCAGUCAUGGAGGUUUUAUUCUCCUUGUAUUUUGCAUAAUAAAUAGCAUUUUGCUUCAUCCCUAUCAUCAGCAAGCCAAACAGUGAGAAACAUUACACCAAGGUCACACCAGUGAGCUGCUAGAGUUUGUUUACACUCACUGCUUCAUACUAAUUUCUCAUAAAGUGGCCAUAUUCAUAAAACCUCCUGGUCUUAAGAGUAACUCCUCGUGGCAAAUUUGGAUAUUUUUUGCAAGUUGAGUCCAAAACUUUUUAAAAAUGAAUAAUUACUCAGAAAGUAGUUUAGCUCUUAGUCAAGCUCCAGGUGUGAAAAGUGUAAGUGGGAGUAAGGAGGACUUCUAAGAGGCUGCAGUGUCUCAAGCUCGCGACGUUGCACCGACAUCUACAAGCCGAGGCACGAUCACCAAAGUGUAGAGGUGUCAAGAGGGUGUGUAUGUGUUUGACAGCAACAGGCUGCACAUAAGGUUCAUAUUUUGGUAACAUUAACUUGACACCUAUCUCUAUAACGCAUUAUUAAUAUAUGUAUAAUGCAUUACAAUCACGUUAUAGCACUGUAUAACUAUAGUUAUAAACACUCAUAAAUGAUCAUAAUGCAUCAUAAUACAUUAUAAAGCAUUAUUUCAUGACUUACAAGGUCAGGUAGUAUAAUGUGUUAUAACUGUUAACAACUCACUGACAAUGCCUACAUGGAUAAUACAUUAUACAUAUAUUAAUGAUGUGCUAUAAUUUGCUUAUAAACUUGUAUAACUAUCAUUAAAAACACUCACUAAUUAUCAUAAGGCUUUAUAACAAUAAGCAUAACACAUCAUAAUACCUGACCUUGUAAAUCAUGAUAAAAUGCUUUAUAAUGUGUUAUGAUUACUGCUAUAAAGCAUUAUGAUCAAUUAUGAGUGUUUAUAACUAUAUUUAUAUAGUGCUAUAAUGUGAUUAUAACGCAUUGUACAAAUUGUUAACCGUAUUUUUUAUCCUCAAAAAGGGGGUACGAUGGGAGGAAAAGUUUGGGAACCACUGCUGUUCUGUUUGUUGUGUUGUUUGUAUUUAGCUCUGUUAUCCGUGCUGUUUGUAUCGUGUUUGUUGUUUGUCCACUUUUUUCUCCUUUCAUCACGCUCUUUACCGCGCCUUACUCUCUUUUUUUCCCACCAGAGUUUGAGAAGGACGGAUCAUUUGUUCCCCUUGAGGAAGUGGAUUCAAGCUCAGAGGUUAUCGGGCAAGUGAUGAUGCUCAACACCCUCAAGCAUUACAAGGUUAGCAAACCGAGCUGAUAGAGAAGGCUGUGUUUGUGGUGAUGAGUUGACAGCUACUUACUCAAAUACUCUCAUGUGAAAACUCGAAAAGCUGUCUGUGGCGUGACAGCCACCUGUCCUCUGAAAUAAUGAUACUGCUGAGGUGAAACCAACAGAGACGCUUGUAUCAAACCAACAACACGUGGACAGGACUCCCUCUUGUUUUCAGUUUUGUUGUUGCUGUCUCCACCCAAGGACAAAAAACUGUUAAAAACUACUUUUUGAAAACAUGACACGAAUUAGCAAACAAGCUGGCACCAACUCCUGCAAGUAAAACUGAUUGCAAGAAUUUUUGUACACUUCUUCAAAUGAGAUAUUAUCAAUAACUGUGAAAUCACCCACCAUCUUAUUUUGACGCACCAUUUCCUGCAGGCAACAGCAGACUUAAAUUUAGAGCAUUUAGGCACGUGUCAUUGACAGCGGAUGCAAAGUUUUAUUAAUCUGCAUGAGAGUGAAAAUGAUUGUUUGGAAAUGUCAUAAAUUGGAGGGUUUAUAGGUGUGUCUUACUUUCAUGAGAGUCAAGAAAAGAGUAAAAGAGAUUCAAGGACAUGAUGUGUGUGAUAAACAAUGAAAUGUCAUUUUUCUUCAUGCGUUGUUUUUUAUUAAUACAUUUUUUUAGGUCCUUGAUGGAGCGACGAUCAAGGUGCUGUCAAAGAAAUUUCAUCCUCCUCUGAGCCCACAGGGAAGUGUGAAGGGUGAGAGCCAAGUUUAUUUACACAUGUACCUUUUAGCUCCAACAAAAAGUAUCAGAUGAGAAGAUCAACACCACUGGCAUGUUUGUGCAUUUGAGAGAGCAACAGAGUCAGAAGGGCGUUGGCAAGUGGCAGUAUGUCCGUUAGCACUCCUCCAAACUUUAAUGCACAUUUUGAAUCAUAUUUUGUUGUAUUCCUUUAUGAAAAUAGUUGGUUUUUACUGGAGUUCAUCAAUCCUUUAAGUUAUCUUAGCUUACUAGCUUCGAGUAAGAAUUAUGUACCUGUAAUGGGCCUCAGCAGCUUGUCCACAGAUUUUAAAACAGACUGAAAAUUGGGGUUUGCUUUUUUUUCCUUUGUUUUAAUCAAUCUGGGAGAAUAAACCCCAAUUUAUGAUACUCUGAGUUUUUUUCAGAGCUUUCAACCACUUUUAUUUUAGCCAACAAAACCGACUAGAAUUGUUUACAGAUUUUCGAAACUAGUAAUGAGAUUAGACGGAUGACUCAGAGAGCUGUAAGAUGUGGCUGAGAGUACAGGAAUCAGUGGUGAGGUGUAUGAUGUCUCAUGUGGUGACAUUUUCAUUAUUUGAAAACAAUAAAAAUUGAAAUUAAAAGAUUUGAUUUGAUCCUGACUCAACAUCUCUCACUAAUAUGAUGAGUUACUUGCUUGGAACGUGUGCCAAUGACUGUUCAAAUGGUCUCAUGCCGUUAAUUAUGUACUUUUGUAAAAUAAAUAGAUUUAUUUAGUUUCAUAGGUCUCUAGUUUUGCCUUGUGAACUUAUACAUAUUGGAAUAAAUAUACAUAUGUAUUCCAGGCUGCAUCUGCCUUUAAUUGUUACUUACCAAACCAACAUGCUUCAUGACAGGUGAAAGCUUUUCAACUCCAUGACGGUGACUGUUUUUCUCUUUUUCUCCCUGCAGACGAUGAAAACUUCUCUGUGAAAUACUUCCACCUGGUAAGAGACAAAUUGAGAUUUAGAUUUGCAUCGAUUUAAUGAUUAAAAGCUCAAACAGAAAUUGGUGACAGGGCUUUUGGGUAGUCUGCGCCCUUAGUCUGGAAGUCAAAAUGAAAGACGUCGAAGAUUUUUCAGGAUGGUGUUUUCUGGUCUUUGCCAGAUCUGCCCUGAAAAGGUUAUUUUUAAUCUCAAUUAGACCAACCUGGUUAAAUUAAUCAUUUAUUUGUAUUUUCUUUUCAUUUUUAGAUUGAUCCUGAUGUAGAAGAGGACGAGAACAAGAGCCCAGAGAGGAAGAAGUUAAAACUAAAGGAAGUGCACCUCACCAAGCUGCUCUCCACUAAGGCAAGAGGAAGCAGUCACAGUCAUUUCACCCAGAAGUGCACCAACACUAACAGAGGCUCUCUUUAGUGUUUAUUUCGACUGUGUGCAGCAGCUUUUGUUGCAUUUCUAGUGUAUUUUGUUUUGCUUUAGACUGAGCAGAUUUUAAAACUUUUAACCCCCUGUAUACACGAUAAGUUUGAACUUCACUAACAUGAUGUUUUUUAGUUUGCUACACCCAUUUUUUUUCCCCAUGUACUGCACUUUAGACCCUUUAUCCGAGGCUGUUAGUACAUUUGGCGCCACCUUGUGGUAUUAACACCACCGUACACUCACCGGUAUCAAAAUAAAUGGCAGCUAUUUCAGCCAAAUCCUUUGAAAGCUUUUUCCCAGAUAAAGAUUAACUUUUAAAAAUACAGCGAGGGCUACGACAGCAGCCAUCAAACAUGGUCUAAUCUCAUCCUUUCUCUUGAAGGUGGCCGUUCAUUCAUAUGUGGAGAACCUGUUCAGAUCUAUCUGGGGGAUGCCGCACUGUCGAGCCCCACAUGCUGUCAAAUAUUUCUUUGACUUCCUGGACACUCAGGCAGAGAACUUGAAGAUCACAGACCCUGAUGUGCUGCACAUCUGGAAGACCAACAGGUACUGCUGAGUCAUCAGAACCACAUCUGUUAAUAGGAAGAGGAAUAAAAAUCCUAACAUGUGUUUUCUUACCUUGUCCUUUUACAGUUUGCCUCUGCGCUUCUGGAUCAACAUCCUCAAAAACCCUCAGUUUGUUUUCGACAUGGAGAAGACCCCGCAUCUGGACGGCUGCCUGUCAGUCAUCGCUCAGGCCUUCAUGGACUCUUUCUCUCUGAGUGAACUCCAGCUGGGGAAGGUCGGAGCACAACAAAUGUCUCAAAGCAAAAACAAGAGCUCCCAUAUUGGGUUUAUAAAUUUAAAUCACAAUAAAAAGAAAGAAAAGUUAACACCAACAUCUCUGAUUUUGAUGUCCUCUAGCAUGCUCCCACCAACAAACUCCUCUACGCCAAAGACAUCCCCAAGUUCAAACAGGAAGUAAAGGUGUACUACAAGCAGAUCAGAGAUCAGCCACCAAUCACUGACCCAGGAUUUAAGGACUUCCUGCAGGAGGAGUCAAAGGUACAGAUCAUUUCAACCCAAAGUACUCAAAAUGAAAUAGUCACUGUUAUAUAAAAGAUAGAUUUGAGUUUUUUUUUUCAUUUCAGAAACAUGAAAACGAGUUCAAUGAAGCUGCAGCACUGAGGGAGCUCUUCAAAUUUGUCCUGAGAUACUUCACAGAGGUCAGUUUUUCGAGAAGGGGGAAAUAUGGCGGGGAUUGUAUGUUUCAAGCUUCUCCACCUGUCUAGCUACUAAACAUGAUCACAUGAUGACACAGUCAGAAGUGACUUCACUUGUGAAACUAGUGUUCGUGCUUGUGUGUGUGUGUGUAGGGGAAAUGACUGUCAGGGCUUUAAGAUUUCGCUUUGCUUCAUCUGGGCUGUUGUUUCCUGUUUAAGUGCACUGACUGACCCUAUUUCUGAACAUGCCACCGCAAAAGCAACCGUCAUGAGCAGUUCAGAGAGACUUGGAGUUUUCAGUUUUUAAAAGCAGUUGUCAAUUUCCUUUAAGAGAAAUUUUCAAACCUAAAAUUAAACAGAAUCAGGGCCCAAAAUAUGGAAACCGUUCUGGAUGUUUACUUUGGUCAGAGGUACAAAAAAGUAGGGGUGGGAAUCACUAGUGGUCCCAAGGCACUAGUGGUUUCCCCGCUCGCUUCUCUAGUUAUACCAACUUUAUUAACGACUGCACGGUAGCAAAAUACAGAGGUCUACCUCUCCAUGUGCAAACCUCAACCAAAACUCCACUCUAUAGCCACAAAUGAUGCUCAGAACAGCACCUAACUUCAUCAACAGAUGCAUGAUUUCUUUAGCAAAGAGACUAAACACAACUCACCUACUCUCUUCCAGCAGCCACUAUUUUGUAGGGAGACAGUCCAUUACCGACUGCAGUGGGGUGACGCAGCUCAAGGAAGAACAUUUAUGAUCACUACUUCAUGGAAAUGCAAUCAGACCGAAACGUUUAGGCAGGAGAGCUACCACGUCUGCAGUGCAAAACGUUUAAUAUGAUGAUUAUUACUUCAUGGAAAUGAUUAAGUAAAGUAAAGCUGUGUAUUGCUAUCCUGCGGUCGUUACUAAAGUUGGUAUAACUAGAGAAGCAAGCGGUCAGCAACUUUCAUCUCUCGACGGAGUGUCUAACUCAGUGUUACGGUUUGUUUGACCCUAACUUAAUUUUACGCCAGAAUAUCCCUUUGACGUUUUUAAAAAUAACCGGGUAUGUAUAAACAGGGUCUGAAACUUCCAGGGCUCUGGUUUAGCUCCACAGAGCAAGUGCUACAUGUACAGAAGCUAAUCCCCAUCACAUGAGCAGCAAGAUUGAUGACAGGCCCCAACAUUUUUUGAUGCAUGUCACCUCCCACUGCUUACUCUCACUUCCUGACUUUCUUCACCUAAUUUUCACUCUCCAUCAAAGGUACACCCCAAAUAAACCCUCAUCCGGGUAGAAUUUUGAUUAUAUUCUACGUAAAGAAAGCGAUUUGUGUUCAAACUGCUUAUCCGAAUAUCCAUCUUCCUGCAGAUUAAAGAGAAGUUGGACCAAAACGGAGCCCCUGCUGAGCUGAAAGAGCAGCUACAUGAAGUUAAAAACUCAUUUGGUGGAGUAAAAAGCUGCUCCUGGAACUGAGCAGAUGCAUGAACUAUGUAAGACACAGAGGGAGGAAAACUGUUACCGUAGAGCCAUCGGGAGAGGACUGAGGAGACUUCUGCACAGCUUGCAACACGUCCUGCAGAAGUGGAAAUGAAGGAACUAAAGAUGAGCAGCGAACCAUGUCGGGAACUGUGUGUCUUCAAAACUCUGGGUUUUCUGCUCGAACAUGACAAAAGUCUUCUGCAGUUCUUGGCAUUAAAACGGUCAUCCUUGAGAGGCACAUUUCAACUGAACUGAAGGGAUGAAUGUCUGGUUUCUGUUCUGUAGCUUCACUGUGGAAAAAAAACUCAGAAUCCCAAACAGAGACCAACCACGGAGAAAAGAUUUAUCUGUACAUUAUUUUUUUCAAAACAAUUCAAAUACAACAAGUUUGAAUCAACCAUGUGCAAUUUGUAUCGACUCAUAUGUAUUUUUUUCCCUGAGUGCUUGGAGGGAAAAUCUGUAAACAAACAUGUCAAUACAAAAAUCAAACCCUGAGGGACUUUUUAAAAAA